rnacentral:tRNA from 1 species
CAUUAGAUAACUUAAAGCAAGUACUGGUCUCUUAAACCACUUAAUAGUAAAUAGCGUCUACUUCUAAUGA